UUCUUUCCAUCUCUCCUCUCCAAAAAAACUCAAAUUCUCGACAAUGGAGACCGGAGAAAAACAAUUAGGAAAAGAAACAACAGAGAACUUGGUAAAAGAAACAACGAGAUACUUACAAGCAGAUCGAUCUAUUGGCAAAGGAAAUGGCUUAUCAAUUCAAACCUAAAAUAUCGUAAUCUUGCCAAGAAUCUAGGGUUUGGUUUUGGGAAGAGCAGCUGAGACUGUGUAUGAAUCGGUAAGAAUGAGAAUGGGUUAAUUGAAGAUGGGGGUUUGAGAGUUCUUGGAUGAUGAUAAGAGUUGGGUUGAGCUCAAAUAUUUGCAACCAGAUGAAGAAAUCAAUCCAGAAAAAAUAUUCCAGGUUUGUCGUAGUGAAGAUACCAUUAUUAAUUAUGCAUCUUGGAAGGUUUUUGAUGGUUAUUGAUGUCUAAUAGACAAAGGCAGAGUUGCACAAUUAGUAAAACAUUGUUGGAUGCAAGCCUAUGGAGUAAAUUUAAGAGAUGGCGAUGGGGUUAUCGUUUAUGAUAUGUUAAGAUAAUACUACUUAUCUUAUUGGUGCACCACCAGUAACUGCAACAACAUGCAUCAUUCCAGUUUCAGGCAAAAAUGGGUUGCACUACCAAGGUAGAGGGAGACAGACUAGACUUUUUCCUCGCCAACAGGAAUUAAUUGAGUAUGAGGCAGGCCCACUAGGAUAAUACUAAUGGAUGGCAUGGAGGAUUUGUGAGAGGUGCACUACCACGGAAAUAGAGCCCAUGGUGUUGUGCGGGGUUAACUUGCAAACUAAUUUAUUAAUCCGAGGAGAUAUCAUUGCUUAUGUUUAUCUACGACGCCUUCAAUAAAGAACCCCCAACACCAACGGUAGAGCAAACAUCUCCAGGAACUCCAAUCAUUGAACGCAAUCAUGUGCCCCUCUAAUGGUUUUAAUUUACAUGUAUCAGUAGGCAACAGAGAUCGGCACAUGAAGAAUCAUUCCCUUAAAUCCGCAUAAACUUAAUAUUGCCAUUGAGACAUGUCAAGUUAAUUCCCACCAGAAUUUCAUGAUCCUUUAAUGAGGGAGCAUGCAUGAUGGAGUCACCAUAGAUACUCUGAAGAAAAUGGUGGGAAUUCUUAAGGGGACAAAACAGGAGGGAAAUGCAUAGACAAUGUCGAUCACGUUCAUCCCAUUGUAACUGAGCUUGGAGAACCUAAUGAUAUGUCCACAAUUGUGCGUGUAUCACUGGAAUCAAACCGAAUAAAUUUGAGGUAGCGUGAUAUUAACACAGGAAAAAAUAGUUUAUUAAUUGUUGUAUACUUAUAGAUAGAUGAUGAUGUUUAUUGUAUAGAACUGAUGUGAAUAAGAAAUUUCUUUCGGUUUGGUAUAUCAUAUGUACUUCAUGAUGAAACCUCUCUGGAUGGUGAUAAUGACACGGAUAGUUUGCAAAUGAAUAAUGAUGAAAAACCUCAUGUACUUGCUUUCACUGGCCAUUUUAAUCAAUUAAACAUGUGAACAAAACCCUCUCAUAUAGUUGGCAAAUCGAUUAGUAAGUAUAGGGUAAAUCAGAAAAGAAAUGAGAGGGAAAGAAUAGUAACGAAGAUAUAUUACCGUGGCAUAAAGAUGAAACAGUUGAGAAUAUCAGCAUAUUAAGACUAAACCACUAUAUACAAUUCCUUGAAUAGUGGAAUGGAAUUGACUCCUUGAUCAAAGAUGUGGUAAUUGACUCCUUGAUCAAAGAGUCAAUCGGUGGACAGGAUUCUUUUGUAUGGUUUGCAGAACUUCAAGAGGUAGAUAUCGUAGUACUUCGAAGAGGUAAGUUUCUCGAAAUUCAUUGCAGCAAACCCUAAUUUAUCAAUUUCUUAUAUGUAUCUAGGGUUUUGAUUCGUUUUUAUCUCGAAUUAUUGAGUUACUCCUUUGUAUGGUUCUAAUAAGUUUCGUAAGAUUGUUGCAAAAUAUGGUUUUGGGGUUUCUGGGUUUAGCAAAUUCUAAGGUCUUUUACUCCUCUCAACCAUAAAUGGUUCAAAUAGAAGUUUCUUCAAACUUUUGGAUGCUGAUUACUGUGGUCUAAUAAGAGAUCUAGCUAUGAAUGCACAUUUCUGCUGAAACCAUCUCCACAGGAGAAGCCUUUUUCCAAUUCAGGCUGAGAAAAACGAUGCAGAUGGAAAAGAAUUAAUCAAAAAGAUGUUACAAGAGUGAUUGAAAGAAAAAAUAUCAUAUGGUCCAAUCGAUGAAAGGUUAAAAUUUUGGUAAAGUUUUAUAAAUCAAAUUUCUGUUUUUAGGUUUCUUUAUUCUAAAUCUCGAAAAGAUUGGGAAUUCAAUUGAAGAUGUUACAUCUGAUGAGUAGCUUACAUGGUGUGUCUGAAAGUGUAACAUAACUUCCAUUGCUUAAAAAAAAACACUUCCAUUUCAUACUAGACGUCAAUGAAAAUUAAAUACCUCGAAUCAUGUAGUUUUCCUCUAAUUACGUCUCACAUCGAUAGCAUUUCAGUUACCGUUUUUUUGUUUUGAUCAGAAAUUUCAAUUACUGUUAUUAAUGUAAAUUUUUGUUUCACUACUGUGUUACGUGAAUAAUGUAAUCUAAUAGUGGGAUUAUCACCUAACGUCAUAUGUUGCUUUUGUAGAUACUUCUUGGUUCGAGAUACAUAUGUUCAAACUAAAGUUUCAAAAUCAGUACAUACUAUUAAGCUUUCCAUGUAUUGUGGAACAAAUCAGUACAUACUAUUAAGCUUUCCAUGUAUUGUGGAACAAAAAACAGCAAAAUAACUUGGAAAACAUUGAGUUUUAGCCAGGCAGAAGGUCUUUACAAUCCUGCCAUUUUACAGAUUCUGUUGAAAGUAAGAGAGAAGAAGAUAGUGACAGGUAGAUGAUGAUGACAACAAUGAAAAUGGCAUGUUUAUAGGUAGAAUCGGCAGAUGUUGAGAAUGAGAGUGGUAGAGACAUCUUGCAGUUGGCUUUGCUCCUUUAGGAAGCAUAACCAGUGGUUCAGCUUCGUAUUGCAUUACAGGACAGUUUGCAUUUUCCUUCGUCCAUUUUUGCAAUGAAAUGAGGUAGUCCUUGAUAUUCCUUUCCAAAUGGGUCAACAGAGAUAUGGUGGGGUGAUGCUCGAGCUCUAAAAUAAGCUUCUUCUCGAAAACAAAAGGAUUUUCUAACUGGAUUUUUCUGCUCUUUCUCUCUGCAUCUACAAAUAUUUUUCCCCUCACCUGAAAACCUUAAAUUUUUAUUUGCCUGUGUUUUUGGUUUGCGGUUUGUUGAUUUUUUUCAGGUUUUGUGUCGGGUAAAGGUCGAAUCAGAAAUAUGCGAAGCUUUUUAGGGUUGUUGUAAUCAGAUUGAUGCAGCAAGCCGAUUAGGGUUUUGGUUGACUGGAUGAUGUUCUCUUAGCUACUAUAUGGAAACAUAAGCCUGAACCUGCGAAAUUGUGGUUACUUUUACCUAUCAUGCUCAAAAUCUUUGUAAACAAUUUGUGAUUUUAGUUUAGAGUAAAUUCCUUUUUCUUCUAUAUUAUUUCAUAUAUACCUGAUUGUCCAGAGAGGAGAUUUACUUUGUCUCUUGAGCAAUUAGACAUAAGUACACAUUUGGCAUCAGUAUUUGAGCAUCAUCAGAGCACCGAGAUCAGGUCCCUUGGUGAGGCUUUUGGAUUGGAUAUUUGUGUUUAUUUAUGGAAUGCUUGCAGUAGUAAGGUGCUUUAUAAAUGUGCAAGCCAUUCCAUCUAUAUUGUAUUUUUAUUGAUUAUCUCGGCUAAUGGACUUCGAAAAUAUGAAAAACAACAUAUGUUGUUGUUGCCAGGUUCUCUACGCAGUUGAACGGGGCCCUCCGUCGAUGCUUUUUGCACAAGCAACUAAUGCUGAGUGGUGUGAAAUCCCCGUUUUCAGAAGCAUGCACAUGUAGACCUAUUGGAACUGUUGAAAAGAAGAGAUUAAAAGCAUUCAUUACUCAGGUUGUACAAGGGGCAUAUAUCGGGGUGUUGCUGAUAUUUUUUGUUGUUCACUGGUGGUUCCCAGAGGAUCUAUCGAUGGUGCAAGCUUUAUUUCUUUUAUAACUUCACUUUUUCGUUGAUAGAGGCGAUCCAGAUAAUAGUUUGAUCCUCUUAUUAGGAAUAAUGAUUGUCGCUCCGCUCUUUGAUUGAAGUCAAAACGAACAGAAUGCAUGUGAAGUACACUAUCUUCAGGAACGUUGUUGUGCAAAGGAAUUGAUGUUGAAUCACAGGGAACUAUCUCAAGUACGUGGAUUCUAAUGUUGAAACGUGUGUGUUGGUAAUAAGUCAAUCUCUUGGUAUAAAGGUAUUCAUGUGUAUUCUUCUUUCAAUUUAUUCGAUUUGAUGUAGGAGCUGAUGAUGUUUUUGUUGCGGAUAUUAGGGAUGCUGAGACUAAUAGAAAAUAAAAAAUUGGAAGGGGUUUCUGAGUUUGUACAUGCAAUUCAGUUGAAACCUGCAAAGGAAAUUGAGAAUGAGAACUAUGCUUUAGCAUCUGGAAUUUGAGAUCAAAAUUCCAAAUUAUAUAAUGGCACGACGAGGUGACGUCAUUAGAACUGUUUAUGUCUUAUGACAUUGAUCAACAGGUUACGUAGUCUCACAUUCAAGCUUCUAAAUAUUUUUUUUAUUAGUGUAUUCUUAAAUCCUCAACUGCAAAAGCAAUUAAGAAUGACAAUUAUGCUUUAGCAGCUGGAACUCGAGAUCAAAAUUCCGAAUUAGAUAAUGGCACGACUAGGUGCCGUUAUUAUAACUGUUUAUUUCUUAUGACAUUGUUCAACAGGUUACAUAGUCUCGCAUUUAAGCUUCUAAAUAAAUUUUUUAUUUGUGUAUUCUUAAAUCCUGACGUCCACGAGUACCAUUGUUUUGUGAAUUAGUUUACAGGAGAACAACUUGCAGCACUCUUCGUAGACUGUUUAUACUUGCGGUGGAUGACCUUUGUAGGAACCUCUUUGAUGUCAUAUGUGAAGCAUUUACUACAAGUUAUUCCAUAGUUCCAAGGGCUUGGGACCCACAAUUUGCAAUCUUUCACUGUUGUGUAUUGCCAUGGAUACAACUACUUUAAGAAGUUAUAUCUUAGAAAGAGCGAUCUAAAUCUAUUGGAACCAGUGAAAACUUAAUAAUUAUUGUUAUUGGGGGUUUCACUGCAAUAUUAGGACAGAUACAACAUUUUCAAGGAUGCAGACCCUGUCAGACGUACAUGGAGUAGGCCUUUGAUGGGCUUGGCCCAAUCAACAGCUAUUCAGGUACUAAAUAAAGCCUGGUUAACUCACGGAGCGAAAAGAGCAAAGAA